rnacentral:lncRNA from 1 species
UUUUGGCCUCUUUUCACUCCUUUGCCAUAUUUUUUUCCCAGAUUUUCAGUCUCUCAUCCCCCCCAUUUUUCUAGGAUUUUUGGCCUCUCAUCCCUUUCCCUUUCCCAGAUUUUUCCCAGGAUUUUUGGCCUCCAAUCCCUGCUUUUAUCCUGAUUUUCCCCGGCAUUUCCAACCUCUUCUUCCUCCCUUUCCAUAUUUUUUUCCUAGGAUUUCCAGAUUCUCAUCCCUUCCCAUUUUUCCCAGGAUUUUUGGCCUCUUAUCCCUGUUUUUAUCCUGAUUUUUCCCAGCAUUUCCAACCCCUUUUCCCUCCCUUCCCAUAUUUUUUUCCCAGGAUUUCUGGUUUCUCAUCCCAUCCCAUUUUUCCCGAAUUUCCGGCCUCUCCCCCCUUUCCAUUUUCCAUUUUUCCAGGAUUUUUGGCCUCUCAUCCCGGCCCUUUCCAUAUUUUUUUUCCCAGGAUUUCCCGUUUCUCAUCCCUCCCCAUUUUUCCCAGAUUUCUGCUCUUUCCCAUAUUUUUCCCAGCAUUUUUGGCCUCUCCUCCCUUCCCAUUUUCCCAGCAUUUCCAGUUUCUCAUCUCUGCUCUUUUCCAUAUUUUUCCCAGAAUUCCCAGCCUCUCUUCCCUCCCUUCCCAUAUUUUAUUUCCCAGAUUUCCAGUCUCUCACUCCUGCUUUUAUCCUGAUUUUUCCCAGCAUUUCCAACCUCUCAUCCCCCCCCAUUUUUCCAGGAUUUCUGGUCUCUCAUUCCUGCUCUUUUCCACAUUUUUCCCAGGAUUUCUGGUCUCUCAUCCCUUUCCCUUUUCCAGAUUUUCCCCAGGAUUUCCAACUUCUCAUCCCUUCCCAUUUUUCCCGUAUUUCCGGCCUCUCCUCCCUUUCCCUUUCCCAUUUUUCCAGGAUUUCUGGUCUCUCAUUCCUGAACUUAUCCCGAUUUCUUCCAGGAUUUUUGGCCUCUCUUCCCUCCCUUCCCAUAUUUUUUUCCCAGGAUUUCCAGAUUCUCAUCCCUUCCCAUUUUUCCCAGGAUUUUUGGCCUCCAAUCUCUGCUUUUAUCCUGAUUUUUCCCAGAAUUCCCAACCCCUUUUCCCUCCUUUUCCAUAUUUUUUCCCCCAGGAUUUCCCGUUUCUCAUCCCUCCCCAUUUUUCCCAGAUUUCUGCUCUUUUCCAUAUUUUUCCCAGGAUUUUUGGCCUCUCCUCCCUUCCCAUUUUUUCCAAGACUUUCAGCCCCUUCUUUUCCCUUUCCCAUUUUUCCAGGAUUUCUGGUCUCUCAUCCCUUUCCCUUUUCCAGAUUUUUCCCAGGAUUUUUGGCCUCUUUUCUCUCCUUUUCCAGAUUUUUUCCCAGGAUUUUUGGCUUCUCAUCCUGCUUUUAUCCUGAUUUUUCCCAGAUUUCCAACCUCUCAUCCCCCCCAUUUUUCCAGGAUUUCUGGUCUCUCAUUCCUGCUCUUUUCCAGAUUUUCCCCAGGAUUUCCAGCUUCUCAUCCCUUCCUAUUUUUCCUGAAUUUCCCCCUUUCCAUUUUCCAUUUUUCCAGGAUUUUUGGUCUCUCAUCCUGGCCCUUUCCAUAUUUUUUUUCCCAGGAUUUCCAGUUUCUCAUCUCUGCUCUUUUCCAUAUUUUUCCCAGAAUUCCCAGCCUCUCUUCCCUCCCUUCCCAUAUUUUUUUCCCAGAUUUCCAGUCUCUCAUUCCUGCUUUUAUCCCGAUUUUUCCCAGAUUUCCAACCUCUCAUCCCCCCCAUUUUUCCCGAAUUUCCAGCCUUUCUUCCCUUUCCCUUUCCCAUUUUUCCAGCAUUUCCAGCCUCCCAUUCCCACCCCCAUUCCCGAUUUUCCCAGAUUUUCCCCCAUCCCGAGCAUUCCAUAAAUCCCAACAAAAAAUCCCGGAAUUUUUUCCCAUCCCAGGCUCCAAUUCCAGCUUUUCUGACCUUUCCAAGAAUUCCCAAGGGGACAAAGGAG